UCCCUGGUGGCUCAGUGGUUGAAGCGUCUGCCCGCAAUGCAGGAGACUUGGGUUCGAUCCCUGGGUUGGGAA
rnacentral:tRNA from 1 species